rnacentral:rRNA from 1 species
GAGUUUGAUCUUGGCUCAGAACGGACGCUGGCGGCAGGCUUAACACAUGCAAGUCGAACGCGUGUAGCAAUACACGAGUGGCGCACGGGUGAGUAACACGUGGAUAUCUGCCUUUUGGUUCGGAAUAACCCUGGGAAACUAGGGCUAAUACCGGAUGGUUCCUACGGGAUAAAGAUUUAUCGCCAAAAGAUGAGUCCGCGUCCGAUUAGCUAGUUGGUGAGGUAAUGGCUCACCAAGGCGACGAUCGGUAGCUGGUCUGAGAGGACGAUCAGCCACACUGGGACUGAGACACGGCCCAGACUCCUACGGGAGGCAGCAGUGGGGAAUAUUGGACAAUGGGGGCAACCCUGAUCCAGCCAUGCCGCGUGAGUGAUGAAGGCCUCGG